rnacentral:misc_RNA from 1 species
UCCUGGUUAACCCAGGCAGUCUCAUUAGAGUCCCCACCUUUCGUGUUGGCAACUAAUGAUAAGGGUUGCGCUCGUUGCGGGACUUAACCCAACACCUCACGGCACGAGCUGACGACAGCCAUGCAGCACCUACUCAGCAGCCCUUGCGGGAAGUACCAUUUCUGGUAUUGUCUCCUGAAUUUCAAACCUGGGUAAGGUUCUUCGCGUUGCAUCGAAUUAAACCACAUGCUCCACUGCUUGUGCGGGCCCCCGUCAAUUCUUUUGAGUUUCACCCUUGCGAGCGUACUCCUCAGGCGGUAUACUUAUCGCGUUAGCUACGACACAAUCAGGGUUGAGCCCGACUACGUCAAGUAUACAUCGUUUACGGCAAGGACUAC